rnacentral:rRNA from 1 species
ACUCCUACGGGAGGCAGCAGUGGGGAAUUUUGGACAAUGGGGGCAACCCUGAUCCAGCCAUGCCGCGUGAGUGAAGAAGGCCUUCGGGUUGUAAAGCUCUUUCAGUUGGGAAGAAACGGGGUUCUCUAAUACAGGGCUCUAAUGACGGUACCGACAGAAGAAGCACCGGCUAACUACGUGCCAGCAGCCGCGGUAAUACGUAGGGUGCGAGCGUUAAUCGGAAUUACUGGGCGUAAAGCGUGCGCAGGCGGUUUUGUAAGACAGAUGUGAAAUCCCCGGGCUCAACCUGGGAACUGCGUUUGUGACUGCAAGGCUAGAGUACGGCAGAGGGGGGUGGAAUUCCACGUGUAGCAAUGAAAUGCGUAGAGAUGUGGAGGAACACCGAUGGCGAAGGCAGCCCCCUGGGCCUGUACUGACGCUCAUGCACGAAAGCGUGGGGAGCAAACAGGAUUAGAUACCCUGGUAGUC